GUUGUUUGGUACAGAAUUGAUGUGUAUGGAGGUAGACGUAUGAUAGAUU
rnacentral:misc_RNA from 1 species